rnacentral:rRNA from 1 species
AACGAACGCUGGCGGCGUGGAUAAGACAUGCAAGUCGAACGAGAGAAUUGCUAGCUUGCUAAUAAUUCUCUAGUGGCGCACGGGUGAGUAACACGUGAGUAACCUGCCCCCGAGAGCGGGAUAGCCCUGGGAAACUGGGAUUAAUACCGCAUAGUAUCGAAAGAUUAAAGCAGCAAUGCGCUUGGGGAUGGGCUCGCGGCCUAUUAGUUAGUUGGUGAGGUAACGGCUCACCAAGGCGAUGACGGGUAGCCGGUCUGAGAGGAUGUCCGGCCACACUGGAACUGAGACACGGUCCAGACACCUACGGGUGGCAGCAGUCGAGAAUCAUUCACAAUGGGGGAAACCCUGAUGGUGCGACGCCGCGUGGGGGAAUGAAGGUCUUCGGAUUGUAAACCCCUGUCAUGUGGGAGCAAAUUAAAAAGAUAGUACCACAAGAGGAAGAGACGGCUAACUCUGUGCCAGCAGCCGCGGUAAUACAGAGGUCUCAAGCGUUGUUCGGAAUCACUGGGCGUAAAGCGUGCGUAGGCUGUUUCGUAAGUCGUGUGUGAAAGGCGCGGGCUCAACCCGCGGACGGCACAUGAUACUGCGAGACUAGAGUAAUGGAGGGGGAACCGGAAUUCUCGGUGUAGCAGUGAAAUGCGUAGAUAUCGAGAGGAACACUCGUGGCGAAGGCGGGUUCCUGGACAUUAACUGACGCUGAGGCACGAAGGCCAGGGGAGCGAAAGGGAUUAGAUACCCCUGUAGUCCUGGCAGUAAACGGUGCACGCUUGGUGUGCGGGGAAUCGACCCCCUGCGUGCCGGAGCUAACGCGUUAAGCGUGCCGCCUGGGGAGUACGGUCGCAAGAUUAAAACUCAAAGAAAUUGACGGGGACCCGCACAAGCGGUGGAGUAUGUGGCUUAAUUCGAUGCAACGCGAAGAACCUUACCUGGGCUUGACAUGUAAUGAACAACAUGUGAAAGCAUGCGACUCUUCGGAGGCGUUACACAGGUGCUGCAUGGCCGUCGUCAGCUCGUGUCGUGAGAUGUUUGGUUAAGUCCAGCAACGAGCGCAACCCCUGUUGCCAGUUACCAGCACGUGAAGGUGGGGACUCUGGCGAGACCGCCCAGAUCAACUGGGAGGAAGGUGGGGACGACGUCAGGUCAGUAUGGCCCUUAUGCCCAGGGCUGCACACGUACUACAAUGCCCAGUACAGAGGGGGCCGAAGCCGCGAGGCGGAGGAAAUCCUGAAAACUGGGCCCAGUUCGGACUGUAGGCUGCAACCCGCCUACACGAAGCCGGAAUCGCUAGUAAUGGCGCAUCAGCUACGGCGCCGUGAAUACGUUCCCGGGUCUUGCACACGCCGCCCGUC